rnacentral:tRNA from 2 species
GCCAAAUUAGUUUAGUGGUAGAACAAGGCCCUCGUAAUGCUUAGAGAUAAGUUCGAUUCUUAUAUUUGGCACCA